UAAUAAUUACUAUAAUGACAAUUAUUAACAAUAUAAAAAAACAAAGAUUAUCCUUUGUUGUUUAGAAAAAUUAAAAACCCUCUCAUGUUUUAAAAUAAGUUCAAAUUCUACUGCAACUCUAACUGUGUUAGCUUUAUAUAUCAUUGUACUAUUUGAUACAUGGUUUUGAUGUUAGCCAUAAAAUUUAAAUAUUUUUAGAGUAUAAAUAAAGUGAAAUGACUUAUAUAACCCUAAUGAUUAAAUAAAUUUAAUAAUAAAUUAUCGAGAAAAAUUACUUCACACACACACACACACACUGUGGAUAUAUAUAACCCAAUGUUAUUCCAAUUUGAAUUUACAACUAUUAGGGAUAUUUACGACAUUUUCCCACUUAUAAUUUUUCUCUAUAAUUUACAAUUUAUUAUAAAAUAAAAUUUGAUCAUUAAGGAUAUAUAAGUUAUUUUACUUAAUUUGUAUUUUCAAAAUAUUUAAAUUUUAUAGCUAACAGUAAGAUUAGGGGUAGAAUAGUAAAAUGAUAUAUAAAGCUAACGUUAUUAUAACUUUUUGGGGGGGGGGGCAGUAGGAGGUAAUUCUCAUUUUCUCUUAACUAUCAUUAAUUAUAGUACUAGUAAUAAUUCAAGAUCAAAUAUGUUACAUGCGAUAAUUUAAUAAUGUAGCAAAAUAAAAAAUUAAACAAAGUAUGCAAUAAUUUAAUUAAUUUGUGAUAAAUUUGUAUGAAGUAAUUUGUGUAAGAGAAACUUUGUGAGUAUAAUCCAAAUAUCAAAUAUAUGGUACAUUAUAUAUGCCUUGUAUACAGUACAAAUUUAUACCAUUAAUAUUAGUCACUAUUUCAACUGAUAUUGAGAAUACCAAUAUUUGAUGAUUAAUAAGGAUAUUUGGUACUAUGAAUAAUUAUAAUUAUUUGAAAACUAUCCAAUAGUUAAAUGGAAAAUAAGAAAAAAAUAUACUUAGUUUACACUAAUAUAAAUAUUAUUCUCACUAAUAUAGACAUUACAUGUUUCAAAGUAAUUUUUUCAGCCAUAAGAAAAUGCAAAUUUUUCAUGCUGAGGAGGGUGUCUGUUGAGUGUUAGAAAAUGCAUAUUUAUAAAGGAGAAAACCGUCAUUUUACAUUUCAAGUCUUACUAACAACCCUUACUUUUAUGUAUUUAACCUUCUUGUGAUUUAAUUACAUGUGUUUUAUUUUAAUUAAGUAUUUUAUGUAUUUUAGGGGCAUUAUAGUCAUUUCACAAUAAAGGAGAAAUCAGACGGCAAAACGGACAUCACUUUUGAACUCAAGACGGUCAAAAACCUUAAGAGGAGCAUAAAAGGAAAAAUGGCACUAUUCACGUGUACGGUACUAUUCACAUGUACGGUACUGUAUACGUUACUGUUCACGACACUGUUCACAUAGACGGAUGAUGAUGUGGCAUUGACCGAUGAUGUGGCAUUGACUGAUGAGGUGUCACGAUCCUGUUGGACUAAAAUUCUUAUGUACUGUUGAUGGUGACGUGGCAGCAUAUCAGUGGACGAAAAAUCUCGCGUACGGUGCAUGCAUCACACAGGAUUAUUUUCAACCAAAUCGUGUUACUGUUCAUCCGGGUCAAACCGUGUUACUGUUCAUCCGCAUGGUCAAACCGUGGACUGUUGACUGAUGACGUGGCGCAAUCCUGAGCGUCCAAACUGUUUUUAAUCCGAUGGCCAUGAUUUACUCCAUGUAUCUAUAAAAAGGGGGCCUCUCCCCCCUAAUUUGAUAUCUCUGAAUCCAUUUUUGGGAUCCAUUUUCUAUAAUUCCUUCUCCAUCUUGUAUUUUCUUCGUAUUUUAAUAAAUUUCCAUUUUGCCCCUAGUUCAAUUAUAAGUGGCUAAUUUUCUUUCAAGCUUGGGUUGAAGGUGAAGUCUCAACAUGUGUCAUGGGCUUAAUUUGGUAAAUUUAUUUUCUCUUCCCCUCUAAUUUUUGUGGAUGUUUUGACUUCUCGUCGACAAAUAAUAAUAGUCUUGUCUAGAUACCGCCUUGGUUACACCGGCUCUCUAGUAUAAGGUUAUUAUUAUUUGGCACGAUAAGCCCUUAGUAUCAUAUUGAUUAGAGCGUGGUUCAUGAGGUGUGGACUCCCCCCUCAUGAUUUAAUUGGCAUUAAUACGGAUUAUUUAGCCCAUGAUGUAUGUUGAUACGGAUCCAGAUACCCAAGUACGUCAAUUUAAUAGAUUUUCUCUUCAAUUUAUUCUCUCCAUUGCAAUUCCAAUUUUAGAAUUUAUUCUUGCCAUUUUAAUUUAAGUAUUAGCAUAUUCCAAAUCAUUUCCACCAUAAAUCCAACUACCCAUUUACAAAAUUAAUUCUAUAUAUAAUUAAAAUCCACCUCCUCGUGGGAUCGACACUCGUCACCAUUAGUCUAUACUACAAUAGAUUCGUGCGCUUGCGAGUACAUUAAAAUUUGCACAACAAGUUUUUGGCGCCGUUGCCGGGGAGGUAAGUAAUUUUAAUUCGUAAAAUUAAUUUUUUGUGAAUAAUUUCUUUUAUUUGUUUUCUUGUAUUUUUUUUAUUAUUAAAAAAAAAGUGAAUCUACAUUUAAAGGUUAGUAUUUUUUUUCUCUUCUUUAAAAUUCUGCAAUUUAAUUUUCAAUUUAUUUUUCUUUGUAAUUUAUUUUAUUUUUAUUUUAUUUUAAUUAAUUUAAUUUUUAGUUAAUUUCUUUCACGUAUUUAUUUUUGUGUAUUUUUAUAGAAAGGUUGUAAUAGCGCAAUAAGGUUAGUAUCGUAAUUUCUCCCUCUUCUUUAUUUUUAUUUGUUUUGUUCCCAUCUUUAUUUUUAUUUUAUUUGUUUUGCAUGCAUGGUCGUAGGUCAUUAUUACCCAAUCUUGAACCUAUAGACCUUGAACUUGAGAAAACACUUCGCACACACAAACAUAUUAAAAAUAAAAUGGAUUUGCAACCACAGGAGAGGCCAUUUAAGGACUACUUCAGUCCUUUAGCUAAUUUGAGCACAUCAUGCAUAAGAUACCCUAAUGUAGCUGCUAGGAGUUUUGAACUAAAACCUAGUGUGCUAAAUUGUCUCCCCACAUUUUAUGGCCUAGAAAAUGAGGAUCCAUAUAAUCAUCUGAAUGAUUUUCAUGCCAUUUGUCAAACUUUUAAAUAUGAAAAAUUUUCAGACGAUGAUGUUAAACUCAGAUUAUUCCCAUUUUCUUUAAAGGAUAGAGCUCGUUCAUGGCUUAAUACAUUGCCUGCUAAUAGCAUUUCAUCAUGGGAACAAAUGGUAACUAAAUUUUUGAAUAAAUAUUUCCCAGUACAUAAAACUAAUGCUAUUCGCAGGGAAAUCUCGGAGUUUACCCAGAGAGAGGACGAGCAAUUUUUCGAAACAUGGGAGCGAUUUAAUGGGCUACUCUUGAAGUGUCCACAUCAUGGGUACGAGAAAUGGCACCAAUGCCAAUACUUUUUGGAGGGAUUAUUGCCGAAUGUGCAAGAAUGGCUAAUGGCAACAAGUGGAGGAGAGCUAAUGUCAAAAAGUGCAUCAGAGAUUUGGGAAUUCUUCCAGCGACAAGCGGAUAAUUCCCAACAACGGAGUCGAUCACUCAGGAAUACUAGAAGAAUUAAGGGAGUAAAUGAGGUUCACAUUGGCGAGUCAAGUUCAGAAAUUAAAGAAGUCAAAGCGAUAAUUGAAGGUCUCUCUCGACAAAUAGCAUCGUUAUCGACUGCUAAAUCAACAGAGCCACAUGACCAUGACUCAUACUCAGAUCAAGCCAAUGCCAUAGGUGUAAUGAGAAAACCAUCGAAUUACAACCCAUACUCCAACACAUAUAACCCUGGAUGGAGAGACCACCCCAAUUUUUCAUGGUCUCAAGGAUUCCAACAGAAUGGACCAGCAGCUCCAGCUCCACCAAUGCAACCAAUUCCACAAAAUCCUCAAGCCUCUCAGCCCCCAUUUAGACCAUACAAUCAGAACCAGAACUACUCUCAACCCAGACCAUGGGAGGAUGCAUUCCAGAAUUUCAAAAAUCUUACUCACUCCACGAUUGAGCAACAGAAUCGCACCAUUGAUGGACUACGAAAUGAGUUGAGAGCAGGCUUCAACUCACAAGCUCAAUCAGUUUCAAGCCUCGAGAAGAUGGUGGGACAACUUGCUUCUUCAGUUCAGACCUUGGCAAUGACCGUUGAGAAAGGUAAGUUUCCAAGUCAACCAGUGCCUAACCCUAAAGGAGUGCAUGAAGCAAGUACCAGUUCACCACAGUAGCAUGGAGAGGUCAAAGCAGUCAUGACCUUACGAAAAGGAAAAGAAGUCGACAACAAAGUGGAGAUGCCGGUGACAAAAGAAAAUCAAAUUGUACCUGUGAAUGUCGAGGAAUCAUCACCGGAGGAGAAAGAAGAAAUCAACCCACGAGAAUACGUUCCGAAAGCUCCAUUUCCUCAGAGGUUAGCGAAAGGAAAAAAGGGAAAAUCCACAGGUGAGAUUCUUGAAAUCUUCAAACAGGUAAGUGUUAACAUCCUUUUGCUUGAUGCUAUUAAACAAGUUCCAUCUUAUGCCAAGUUUCUUAAAGACCUUUGUACUAAAAAGAGAAAUAUGCAUGUUCAAAAGAAGGCAUUUUUAACAGAAAACGUUAGUUUUAUACUCCAACAUAAAAUUCCUUUAAAAUGCAAAGACACAGGCUCCCCCACUAUCUCGUGUAGUAUAGGGAACCACACAAUUGAGAAUGCUUUGUUGGAUUUAGGAGUUAGUGUAAAUUUGUUGCCUUAUUCUGUAUUUGUGAAACUUGGACUUGGAGAAUUACACCCAACUCCAGUGGUGUUACAGCUUGCAGAUCGGUCCACAAAAAUACCUCGUGGUAUUGUGGAGGACGUGCUUAUUCAGGUAGACAAGUUUUAUUUUCCUGUUGAUUUCAUUGUAAUUGACACUCAACCUAUACAGGAUUCAAGGAAGCACAUUCCCAUUAUCCUAGGCCGACCUUUCUUGGCAACUGCGGAUGCUCACAUUCAAUGCAGGACUGGAAAUAUGCAGUUGUCUUUCGGCAACAUGACUAUGGAGCUGAACAUCUUCAACAUUGCCAAACAACCUCACAAUGCAGAUGAUGAAAUUGUUGAUGUGGAUUUAAUUGAAGCAUUAGUUGAUAAUACUUUUCUUUCAAACCUUAGUGAUGAUCCUUUACAAACAUGUUUAACUCACUUUGGUUUGGAUUUUGAUAUUGACAGAUCGGUCGAUGAGGUCAACGCUUUACUUGACUCAGCACCAUCCAUGGACACUAAUAAAUGGAAGUCAAGAGUUGAGCAACUAGCACCAUCAGAGAAGCAACUUAUUCCAUCAUCAGAAUCACCACCGAAACUCGAGCUCAAACCAUUGCCCAACACUUUGGAAUAUGCGUUUUUGGGAGAAGAAAGUACUCUGCCGGUAAUCAUCUCAUCAUCCCUAAAUGACGAACAAAAAGGUAAGUUGUUGGAUGUUUUAAAAGAGCACAAAGGAGCAUUAGGAUGGACCAUAGCAGAUAUAAAAGGUAUAAAUCCAGUAGACUGCAUGCAUUACAUUCACCUCGAUGAAAAUGCUAAAUCUACUAGGGAAAUGCAACGUCGGUUAAAUCCUAAUAUGAAAGAAGUUGUUAGAAUUGAAGUCCUUAAGCUAUUAGAUGCAGGUAUCAUUUACCCAAUUUCUGAUAGUUCAUGGGUAAGUCCUGUACAAGUCGUCCCCAAAAAGUCAGGAGUCACAGUAGUUACCAAUGCUGAUAAUAAAUUGAUACCAACUAGGGUAACUACAGGAUGGCGUGUAUGCAUUGAUUAUAGAAAAUUGAAUUCUGUCACACGUAAAGACCAUUUUCCUUUACCAUUUAUUGAUCAAAUGCUUGAUAGAUUAGCAGGCCAUGAAUUUUAUUGCUUUCUAGAUGGCUACUCAGGAUAUAAUCAGAUUCCCAUAGCACCAAAAGAUCAAGAGAAAACUACUUUCACUUGCCCUUUUGGCACAUUUGCAUAUAGGAGAAUGCCAUUUGGAUUAUGUAAUGCACCUGCUACAUUUCAACGAUGCAUGUUGAGCAUUUUCUCUGAUAUGGUUGAACGAUUCCUUGAAGUCUUUAUGGAUGAUUUUUCUGUUUUUGGUGACUCGUUUGAUCAAUGUUUGCAUCAUCUAACACUAGUUCUGCAGAGAUGUGUCGAGAAGAACUUGGUCUUAAAUUGGGAGAAAUGUCAUUUUAUGGUAAAACAAGGUAUUGUUCUCGGUCACAUCAUUUCGAGCAAAGGUAUUGAGGUUGACAAAGCCAAGGUGGAUCUCAUUUCUAAUCUUCCUCCACCCAAAACAGUCAGAGAAGUAAAAUCUUUCCUUGGGCAUGCUGGUUUCUAUAGACGAUUCAUUAAAGAUUUUAGCAAAGUUUCUAGACCCUUAUGCAAUUUACUUGCUAAGGAUGUACCUUUUAUCUUUGAUGAUUCAUGUCUUGUUGCGUUUGAAAAAUUAAAGCAUUUGUUGACAUCAUCAUCCAUCAUUCAGCCCCCGAACUGGAGCUUACCAUUUGAGCUUAUGUGUGACGCAUCUGAUUAUGCAGUAGGAGCAGUAUUAGGACAAAGAGUUGAUCGAAUUCCCCAUGUCAUUUACUAUGCUAGUAUGACAUUGAAUGAUGCACAGUUAAACUAUUCAACUACUGAAAAAGAAAUGCUAGCAAUAGUGUUUGCAUUAGAGAAAUUUCGAUCUUAUCUCAUUGGUUGUAAAAUAAUUAUAUUCACAGAUCAUGCAGCUCUUAAAUAUCUUCUCAUAAAGAAAGAUGCAAAAGCUAGACUAAUUCGUUGGGUGUUACUUUUGCAGGAAUUUGACUUGGAAUUCAAAGAUAAAAAAGGCACAGAAAAUGUUGUGGCGGAUCACCUCUCUCGUCUCCAUUUUGACACAACUACAGAGCCAUUACCAUUAAAUGAGUCAUUCCCUGAUGAACAAUUGAUGAAUGUGGAAGUAUUACCGUGGUAUGCUGACAUCGUGAAUUAUCUUGUUACAGGUCAACUUCCAGAGCAUUUGACCAAGCAAGAUAAGGCUAAAUUCUUUGCAGAGAUAAAGAAUUUCUUUUGGGAUGACCCGUAUUUGUUCAAGUAUUGUACAGACCAAAUUGUUAGACGAUGUGUCCCAGAAAGUGAAAUUCAGAAUAUCCUUUCAUUCUGCCAUGAACAAGCUUGUGGAGGCAAUUUCAGUGCUAAGAAAACCGCGACUAAAGUUUUACAAUGUGGUUUUUAUUGGCCAACUAUAUUUCGAGAUGCUUACACUUUCUGUUCUUCAUGUGAUAGGUGUCAACGAAUGGGGAGCAUUACGCGAAGGAACAUGAUGCCACUAAAUCCAAUUUUAGUGGUUGAGAUUUUUUACGUAUGGGGUAUCGACUUUAUGAGACCCUUUCCCCCGUCUUUUGGUCAUCAAUACAUAUUGGUUGCUGUUGACUAUGUAUCAAAAUGGGUAGAAGUAAUUCCAUGUAGGACCAAUGAUCACAAGGUGGUGAUAGCAUUUUUGAAAAGCAACAUUGUUUCACGCUUUGGAUUCCCUCGAGCGAUAAUCAGUGAUGGUGGUGCCCACUUUUGUAACAAAGCAUUCAAAGCUCUUUUGACAAAGUAUUCAAUCACACACAAAGUGGCAACUCCGUAUCAUCCGCAAACCAGUGGCCAAGUUGAGAUAUCCAAUCGAGAAAUAAAGCACAUAUUAGAAAAAACGGUGAGGCCAGACAGGAAAGAUUGGUCAUUAAGACUUAAUGAUGCAUUAUGGGCAUAUAGAACGGCUUUUAAGACCCCGAUUGGGAUGUCACCCUACAGGCUAGUGUAUGGAAAAGCUUGCCACCUACCUGUGGAGCUCGAGCAUCGUGCGUAUUGGGCCAUCAAGAAAUUCAAUUUUGACAUGCAGCAAGCCAGCUCAGAAAGAAGAUUACAGCUGGCAGAACUUGAAGAAAUUCGCAAUGAUGCAUACGAAAAUGCCAAGAUUUACAAGCAACGAAUGAAAGUCUUCCAUGAUAAGCAAAUUAUGAGAAAAUCGUUCACUCCAGGUCAGAAAGUGUUUUUAUUCAAUUCUCGCUUGCACCUAUUCCCAGGUAAGUUACGCUCUCGUUGGUCUGGCCCAUUUAUUGUUCAUACUGUUUUUCCACAUGGGGCAAUUGAAAUUAAGGACCCAAAGAACGGUGUCACGUUUAAAGUUAAUGGUCAAAGAUUAAAGCCAUAUUUAGAAUACCAACCACAUGGAGAAGACAUCGAAAUAAAUUUGAGUGACCCACCAAAUUUGAAUUGAUUUUUUUUUUUUAGUGAUUUGAUUUUUUUUCUUUUUUUCUUUAUUUUAUUCUUUUGCUAAUUGAAAUUAUUUUUGCAUAAGUGUGUUUGUUUAACUAUUAAGUUUUCUCUUAUUAUUUUUAAUCAUGAGUCUCAUACUUAGACCAUUCCUCCUGAACAUUCUUAAACCACUUCAACGUGUCAAAACUCAUCUCAAAAGGCAGAUUCAAUUUUGUAAAACACAACGCAUUUGGGCUCUACAACCACCAGAGUUAGUUGCCUAUGUUGAGGGUUUAGAACGCCAACUCAGAGACAUUGAGAGAAGUGUUUACGACAUCCAGUUGGAGCUUGAGGUAAAUUCAAUAAGAGGACGAUUUUAAUUUUCUUUGUGUGUUUUAAUUUGUUUUUCUGUUUGUGUGCUUUAGUUUGUUACCCCGGUGAAGUGGCGGAUAACGGUACUCCGUGACAAUCAAGUCGGUUACUUCAGUUUCCCAUAAUAACUGAUAUUCUGAGGCGAAAGUAUGGACAGAAACGAGACUCUAGCGAAGCUUCACAAGCGAUUCCCUUCACUUCCUCAGAAUGCCCUCCUUACGAUCUAUAAAGCUCGGUCCGAACGCAUGCGAUUACUCAUGAGGAAUAACAUACCUGCUGAUAUCCGUUGGUUAAUUGAGGCGAAAGUACGAUCGACAGGUGAGUUACCUCCAAAAUUUAUUGCAUUCAUGCUUGGUUGUGGUAAAGGAAAUUAUGCAAGAAAACGACGAGCUCAAAGAAUUUCUGUUGCUUGUCAUAAGUGUGCUAGAAUGAGUUGCAAUAAAAACCCAUGUUCUUUAGGAAUGGUGUUUGAUAACAGGGAAGAUAAGAUUCAAUUCAUUAGAGAUGGCUUGAAUAAGGAGUCAUUGGAUGAUAUCCUUCUGUCUCUUGAAACGCAUCCCAGUGGAUAUGUGCAAGGAGCGAUUCUCCAGUUAUGGCCAUUAUUCCAGAAAGAGCAUGCACGAUAUAGUCUCGGGAAUCUGACUAUAAACGACCCUGUUUGCCAGUUUAUAAGAAAACUGGAUGGGAAGCCUAUCCUCAACCCAUAGAGGGCGUUCAAGCCGUUUCUGGACGUAAAACCAGAGGAAGAUGUGAGCCACAGUCGCAACUACCUGUAAAUAUCCUUUCACUUUACUGUUAUUUUAUUUCACUAUUGUUUUAUUGUGUGUAUUAUUGUCCUUAAUAAUUUUAUUACUGUUUGCUUUUUUCUUAUUACUGUUUACUUUUUCCUUUUUACUGUUUCCUUUUUGACUCGCGAGCCACGUGCUUUACGCGUUAUUUGACACUGACAUGUUACCUCAUACACAACUGUGACCCACUGUCACCAAGACUCUUAAAUGUGAUUUUUUUUGUCAAGCACUCACAAAUUAUUUUUCGAGAAGUAUCACAAUGGCAGCUACUCUAAAUAGACAAUUCAAGAACAUUUGUGUGCUUUCUGGAUUUACCUAUGGCAAACAUAAAGAGUUCGUUGAGGCAGCCAUAGAUCUUGGUCGAAGCAUAGCAGCGAGAAAAUUACACUUGGUGUAUGGAGGAGGUAAUCGAGGGUUAUCAAAAAUGGUCUCAGAAGCAGCUUUUAUCAGAGGAAGUCAAGUGUUAGGCAUCAUCCCAAGAGUCCUAAAACCAUUGGGCAGUUCGUCUGACUCAUCAACUGGAGAAGAAUUAGUCGUCUCAGGUAUGCAAGAAAGAAUAACUGAAAUGCUUAAUUAUGCUGAUGCUUUUAUUUUCCUUCCAGGAGAUCUUGCAACACUAGAGGCAUUUAUGACACUAGCAUCUUGGGCCCAUCUAUACAUUCACCAGAAACCCAUCGGUUUGUUAAAUGUCAAUAACUUUUAUGAUGGCUUUAUCGCAUUUCUUAACCAUGCAAUAAAAAACUAUUUCAUUCCUUCUAAUGUGAAAAAACUCUUUAUUUGUUCUCACACUGCUACUGAGCUACUUGAUAUGUUACAAGCUUAUAAACCGGAGCCAGACCCCUGGACCUUUGUGUUGGAGCGACCAAAUAAUGAUGGUAAUAGUAGCCGCAGUAAGAAGUACAAAUUAGAUUUAACUCUCCGCCUGUAAAUAUUUUCUUCUGUGUUGCACCACCCAGGUGAUGUCUUUUAAACUCUACUUCUUUCCUUUACAACAUUGAGGACAAUGUUUCGUUCUGGUUGGGGGGAGGGAAUAGUCGACAAUUGUGGAAUCUUGGUUAAGUUUUUACUAAUUUUUUGUUGUAGAAACUAACUGUUGCUAACUUUUUGUGUUGAAGAUGGCUGAAUAUGGAGUGUAGUUACUCUAGAAACGCAUCUUCAUUGUUCGAAAAAAAAAAAUUCUUUUUCUUUAUUAAGUUUUGAUGUUCAUUUUUCUUCUUCUUUUUAUUUUCUCCUCUAUAAAUAUACAUUUUCCAACUUUUGAGUCGAAGAUGGCUGAAUAUGGAGAGUAGUGCCUCUAGAAACGCAUCUUCUAAGUUAAAAAAAAAAACCAUUUUCGUUUUCUAUCAUUUUAAGUGAAACUUUUCUAAUUAGUUUUUAUGCAUCAUUUUCAUAUCUCUACAUACAUAUUUUCCUUUCAUGUUUAGAAUAGGUUGGGGGGUAGAAUGUUGUUUAAAAAAAAAAUUGUGUGAUUUGUUUUAACAUUGGAUGACAUGAUUAAUUUCAAAUUUUAGUAUUUGUAUUAUCUUUGGUCUUAAGUGAUGUUACGCUAUGUUUGCUACUUUACAUGUUGAUGUCGGAGACAAAUAUGAGUUGCUUGAAGGAAUGAACAUGUCAUAAAUAAAUGCCAAGUGAGUUGUUGAGCCUAUCACUUUCUUGGAGAGUAACCCUUUUGCCCAUUCUCUCUACAGCUUAGCAAUUUAUUAUUUUAUACACGAUCUCUAAAUUUCUUUUGAGUUAACCCUAAAAAAAAAAAAUAUUGUAAAAUAAAAAAAAAGAGAAAAAAAAAUGUGUUGCUACAUUAGGAGGCCCAUCUAACUAGUAGACAUGGAUAAUUAUUUAGAGCCCUAAAAGACGAUGGAAAGGCCAUCUUUGAUCCGUUUGAGCCUUUCUAGCCAUCCCUUUUAUUAAAUAUUCAUAGUUACCCAUUUUGAGCCUUUAAAAAAAAAAAACCUUUUCUUUGUCAACUUAUCAUCUUGACCCACUUCGAUUUGGAGUAUUACCCGAUGUCUUAUAAGUUCCAUCACCUAUUUAUGUUUGAGAAAAAUAUAAAUAAUUAUUUUGUUCAGUGAAUUUAUGCCAAAAAAAAAAGAGAAAAAAAAGUUGUUGUUUCAAAAGAAUAAAAAUAAAAAUAAUAGGUGAAAUCCACCUUGUAACUUCUAAAAAAAAAAAAAAAACAUUCUCUGCAUUUUUUUCAAACAUACACUUUAUUUUCCUUAUUUCCCUUCUUUGUUAGCCAUGUCCCUAGCCUACGUUACGUCCUAAUAAAAGUCUUUCUUGAUUUUAGGGAACUAUAGUUUGAAGUAGAAGCUAGUUAUAUGGGCUAAAAAGAUGUAGUGAUGCAUAAUUAAAAAAAAAAGAUAAAUAAAGUGGGUUGACUUACAUUUUAUUUGACUUGAGAUCGUAUUAUUUCUAAGCUGAGGGCAUAUUUAUUUCAUCUUGGUGAGAGCAUGUGAUAUCACUUCUUUAUUAUUUUCUCUCUCAAUUACCAUUCAUUGGAGUGACUAUUUUUAUUGGGUUUAAUUUAUUUGUGAGAGUGUCACUACUUCCAGUGAGAUUUUGGGGUUUGACAUGUCAUUCUUGAAAGUAGCUAUAACAAAGUCUACUGGACUAAUUCAUGUGGAUGGUUGAUGUGGGUGUGAUGUUGCUUUAGACUGGAGAUAAUGCUUAUACUUUUAUUUGAUUGCUAUCAUUAAUCUGAUUGAAUAAACACGAGUGUUUCUAAAAAAAAAAAAAAAUCAUUUUGAAUUUGAAUUUUGUUUUCGCUUUAUUUGCUAGGGACUAGCAAUAAGCUGGUUGGGGGGUGUGUUGCGUGUUAGAAAAUGCAUAUUUAUAAAAGAGAAAACCGUCAUUUUACAUUUCAAGUCUUACUAACAACCCUUACUUUUAUGUAUUUAACCUUCUUGUGAUUUAAUUACAUGUGUUUUAUUUUAAUUAAGUAUUUUAUGUAUUUUAGGGGCAUUAUAGUCAUUUCACAAUAAAGGAGAAAUCAGACGGCAAAACGAACAUCACUUUUGAACUCAGGACUGUCAAAAACCUUAGGAGGAGCAUAAAAGGAAAAAUGGCACUAUUCACGUGUACGGUACUGUAUACGUUACUGUUCACGACACUGUUCACAUAGACGGAUGAUGACGUGGGAUUGACCGAUGAUGUGGCAUUGACUGAUGAGGUGUCACGAUCCUGUUGGACUAAAAUUCUUGUGUACUGUUGAUGAUGACGUGGCAGCAUAUCAGUGGACGAAAAAUCUCGCGUACGGUGCAUGCAUCACACAGGAUUAUUUUCAACCAAACCGCGUUACUGUUCAUCCGGGUCAAACCGUGUUACUGUUCAUCCACGUGGUCAAACCGUGGACUGUUGACUGAUGACGUGGCGCAAUCCUGAGCGUCCAAACUGUUUUUAAUCCGAUGGCCAUGAUUUACUCCAUGUAUCUAUAAAAAAGGGGCCUCUCCCCCCUAAUUUGAUAUCUCUGAAUCCAUUUUUGGGAUCCAUUUUCUGUAAUUCCUUCUCCAUCUUGUAUUUUCUUCGUAUUUUAAUAAAUUCCCAUUUUGCCCCUAGUUCAAUUAUAAGUGGCUAAUUUUCUUUCAAGCUUGGGUUGAAGGUGAAGUCUCAACAUGUGUCAUGAGCUUAAUUUGGUAAAUUUAUUUUCUCUUCCCCUCUAAUUUUUGUGGAUGUUUUGACUUCUCGUCGACAAAUAAUAAUAGUCUUGUCUAGAUACCGCCUUGGUUACACCGGCUCUCUAGUAUAAGGUUAUUAUUAUUUGGCACGAUAAGCCCUUAGCACCAUAUUGAUUAGAGCGUGGUUCAUGAGGUGUGGAUUCCCCCCUCAUGAUUUAAUUGGCAUUAAUGCGGAUUAUUUAGCCCAUGAUGCAUGUUGAUACGGAUCCAGAUACCCAAGUACGUCAAUUUAAUAGAUUUUCUCUUCAAUUUAUUCUCUCCAUUGCAAUUCCAAUUUUAGAAUUUAUUCUUGCCAUUUUAAUUUAAGUAUUAGCAUAUUCCAAAUCAUUUCCACCAUAAAUCCAACUACCCAUUUACAAAAUUAAUUCUAUAUAUAAUUAAAAUCAACUUCCUCGUGGGAUCGACACUCGUCACCAUUAGUCUAUACUACAAUAGAUUCGUGCGCUUGCGAGUACAUUAAAAUUUGCACAACAGUGUCUUUGACAUUUUCCUAAUUUAAAUUGAUAGUUUUGAUAUUUAGAUAAAAUUGGUGUAGCUAUGUGAUAAUUGCUACUGAUAUUUGCCAGUUCCCACUUCCAAUUCUUUCGUUCGGUAGCAGGUUUCAUGCGUAAAAAGGGAAUAGGUUUCAAAAUAAAAAAUAAAAACGACUGUAUGGCAUGCAGUGGCUGUAUUAUAAGCGGACCCUAUAUUUUUGGGGGCCAGGCAACCUAAUUCUACAUGGAUUUGACCGAGCAUAAUAAAAAGCCAAUCUUUGGCUUUUGAAUAGGGUGUCGCCAAAAGGCGAAAUACGGAAGACAGAGAGACGAGCAGCAGUAGAGAAGCAGAGAAAAAUAGUUUUGAGGAGAGAAAAAGAGAGCAAAGUAAGUGGAGAUUCGAGAAGGGUUGUCUGUGCCCAGAAUGUUUCACCACUAUUGUUUAUCUUUGGAAAUAUGAAUGUCAUUACUUUGUAUUUUUGCUUUUAGUUUCUUUAUUUUUUAUUAUUU
rnacentral:lncRNA from 1 species